AUUGAACGCUGGCGGCAGGCUUAACACAUGCAAGUCGAACGGUAACAGAAAAUAGCUUGCUAUUUUGCUGACGAGUGGCGGACGGGUGAGUAACGCGUAAAGAAUUUGCCCUUCAGACUGGGACAACUAAUCGAAAGGUUAGCUAAUACCGGAUAUUAUGAGACCUUGGCAUCAAGGACUUAUGAAAGCUAUAUGCGCUGGAGGAGAACUUUGCGUUCCAUUAGCUAGUUGGUAGGGUAAUGGCCUACCAAGGCGACGAUGGAUAGCCGGCCUGAGAGGGUGAACGGCCACAAGGGGACUGAGACACGGCCCUU
rnacentral:rRNA from 1 species